CUCGCAUGAGCAUUAGCCCUUCCCCCUUCAGGGCGCCGACCAAGCGCCAAGGGACAUCAUUGCUGGAGACAGGCAAGUGUUAAAAAGGUUUUUUUAACAAGGAAGGGAGGGGGGACCAGAGGGACCUAUAGUGUUAGGUAUACAGAUUUGUAUUAUUAACACUAUAGAAUCCCUUUAAAGGACCACUAUAGUGCCAGGAAAAC